UACGGAGGGAGCUAGCGUUGUUCGGAAUUACUGGCGUAAAGCGCACGUAGGCGGCUUUUUAAGUCAGGGGUGAAAUCCCGGGGCUCAACCCCGGAACUGCCCUUGAAACUGGAGAGCUAGAAUCUUGGAGAGGCGAGUGGAAUUCCGAGUGUAGAGGUGAAAUUCGUAGAUAUUCGGAAGAACACCAGUGGCGAAGGCGACUCGCUGGACAAAGUAUUGACGCUGAGGUGCGAAAGCGUGGGGAGCAAACAGG
rnacentral:rRNA from 1 species